UACGGGGGGAGCAAGCGUUGUUCGGAUUUACUGGGCGUAAAGGGCGCGUAGGCGGUAGCACAAGUCAGUUGUGAAAUCUCUGGGCUUAACCCAGAACGGCCAAGUGAUACUGUCGCGCUAGAGUGCGGAAGGGGCAAUCGGAAUUCUCGGUGUAGCGGUGAAAUGCGUAGAUAUCGAGAGGAACACCUGAGGUGAAGACGGGUUGCUGGGCCGACACUGACGCUGAGUGCGCGAAAGCCAGGGGAGCAAACGGG
rnacentral:rRNA from 1 species